AUUGAACGCUGGCGGCAGGCCUAACACAUGCAAGUCGAACGGCAGCACAGAAGAGCUUGCUCUUUGGGUGGCGAGUGGCGGACGGGUGAGUAAUGUCUGGGAAACUGCCCGAUGGAGGGGGAUAACUACUGGAAACGGUAGCUAAUACCGCAUAACGUCGCAAGACCAAAGUGGGGGACCUUCGGGCCUCACACCAUCGGAUGUGCCCAGAUGGGAUUAGCUAGUAGGUGGGGCUAUGGCUCACCUAGGCGACGAUCCCUAGCUGGUCUGAGAGGAUGCCCAGCCACACUGGAACUGAGACACGGUCCAGACGCCUACGGGAGGCAGCAGUGGGGAAUAUUGCACAAUGGGCGCAAGCCUGAUGCAGCCAUGCCGCGUGUAUGAAGAAGGCCUUCGGGUUGUAAAGUACUUUCAGCGGGGAGGAAGGCGGUGAGGUUAAUAACCUUGCCGAUUGACGUUACCCGCAGAAGAAGCACCGGCUAACUCCGUGCCAGCCGCCGCAGUAA
rnacentral:rRNA from 1 species